GGGGGAGCGAUGGAAGGAGACGGAGACGAGGUGGCCGACGAGGUGGUGGUAGUGGUGGUGCAGGCGGCAGAAGUUGAGAUCGGAGGUGGAGGGGGGACCAGCUGGGUCGGAGGGAUCAAAGCAGUCGGUAACAUUUAUGAGAAGUUUGCUGAAGAACAUCCUCUGAUGAAUAAGGUGAAGUGAAAAAUGAAUUGCAGGUAUCUCUGUAAUAGAAUGAAACAUGAUUUCAGCCAAAGGAUCUUUAUGGAGACAAGAAAAUUCAAAGAGGAACAUGCUUGCAAAGUAUCCUCGUAACCUGUGCUUUUAUAAAGUUUACCACAAUCCAGAUUCAUUAUCUGUCCCACUGGAAAGACUUGGACUGAACAGGUUGGCUGGAGUCCUCCUGGAAUGGAACAGCAGAAAAGGCUCACUAAACCUCUGUUGUAAUACAAAGAAACCCGCCCAUAACAUGUUGUUUUUUUCUUAUGAGUAGUGUAAGGGAGUGUAGGGCAACCCAUGGGCAGUUUUAUAACAUAUGCUAAUGCAAUCCUGUACCUGAUUUAUAUAAUCCUACCAUUUCUGUAUUUGCUCCAAGUCCUCAUUCCUACCUCUUUCUUCUUCUCAGUCAGUCACAUACAAGAGAAAAUAGUUUCUCAAUGUAUUUAAUCCUGGGCUCUUUCAAUUUCCAUUUGUCUCCGAUCUAACAGGAUCAGUGUUAUUCUGGUAAUAAGAUUAUCACCAGCCAAUCAUUAUUUUUAUUUAUUUGUAUUACAGUGUAAUCUAUAGAGCCAAUCCAAAUUGUGUUAGGAUAUUGCAUAAACACACAACAAAAAGAAGGUCCCUGCCCCAAGGAGCUAACAAUCUGAGAAUAAAAUGAGAGACAACAGGAGAAUACACCAAACAGAUUGGUGAGCACAAGAUAACAGCAAUUGUAACUCACUGUCUAAUGAUGUGAUGCCAUUCUCAGAAGUGUUACUUUGGGAAGCAAGACAUCUGGGCAUUUGUGAUAGCAUCAACAUACAAAGAGACAUGCCAUGAAAGCAACACACCAUCCCAGUUUGAAGCCAUGGCUCUCCAACAACCCCACUGUUUAGAACAGGGAUCGGCAACUUUUGGCACGCAGCUCACCAGGAUAA